rfam:Dipodomys ordii contig_20364, whole genome shotgun sequence.
GGUGGCUCAGUGGUAGAGUGCUUGCCUUGCAUGCAUGAGGCCCUGGGUUCAGCUCCUCAGCACCA